rnacentral:rRNA from 1 species
UCAGGCCUAACACAUGCAAGUCGAGCGGUAGCGGGGAGAGCUUGCUCUUUGCCGACGAGCGGCGGACGGGUGCGUAACACGUAGGAAUCUGCCUGGUAGUGGGGGAUAGCCCGGAGAAAUCCGGAUUAAUACCGCAUACGCCCUACGGGGGAAAGCAGGGGAUCUUCGGACCUUGCGCUAUCAGAUGAGCCUGCGUCGGAUUAGCUGGUUGGUGGGGUAAAGGCCUACCAAGGCGACGAUCCGUAGCUGGUCUGAGAGGAUGAUCAGCCACACUGGGACUGAGACACGGCCCAGACUCCUACGGGAGGCAGCAGUGGGGAAUAUUGCACAAUGGGCGAAAGCCUGAUGCAGCCAUGCCGCGUGUGUGAAGAAGGCCCUAGGGUUGUAAAGCACUUUCAGUGGGGAGGAAAGGUUGAAGGUUAAUACCCUUUGGCUGUGACGUUACCCACAGAAGAAGCACCGGCUAACUCCGUGCCAGCAGCCGCGGUAAUACGGAGGGUGCGAGCGUUAAUCGGAAUUACUGGGCGUAAAGCGUGCGUAGGCGGCUACCUAAGUUGGAUGUGAAAGCCCCGGGCUCAACCUGGGAACUGCAUCCAAAACUGGGUGGCUAGAGUACGGGAGAGGAGUGUGGAAUUUCCUGUGUAGCGGUG